CGACGAUUAACGUUACCAAACAGAUCCGACGCGUUGGUUUUCAACUCAACACUGAAACAACAUUGGUGUCUUUGCACCCCAGAGCUAUAUAAAUAAUCGAGUGACCGAUCUAACAAUGGAAAUACAUGUCCUCAAAGAUGGAAGGCAUACGGGAGGUGUCGAGAUCAGUUUCAGCAAAUUAUGGACUUCCAUGACGGGCCCCUUCCUUUGACUGUCACGACUUCAGAUGAAGUUGGCUCCUCUCCUUGUUCGGGGGGCGUUCGGCGAUCGUCGUCACAGGCUUUCUAGCCAUCGCCGCUCCAUUUCUCAUAUAUCCAUUUGUUUUGUCUUGUUUCAUACACACCUGGUUUUCAUUCCAUAAUCACACUGCGUGUAUUUAGUCCUCUGUUCCCCUCCAUGUCUUUGUGUGUAAUUGUUUAUUGUUACGUGGAUAUUUGUCAGGCGCUGCACUUUUGUUAUGUACCGUGUUUUUGGCACUAGUAUGUUUUAUGUGCUGUCAUUGUUCAUCUCUGAAACUGGAAACACUUAUCUCCCUCACUAGCUUUAAGCACCAACUGUCAGAGCAGCUCACAGAUUACUGCACCUGUACAUAGCCCACCUAUAAUUUAGCCCAAACAACUACCUCUUUCCCUACUGUAUUUAUUUUAUUUAUUUUGCUCCUUUGCACCCCAUUAUUUUUUAUUUCUACUUUGCACAUUCUUCCACUGCAAAUCUACCAUUCCAGUGUUUUACUUGCUAUAUUGUAUUUACUUUGCCACCAUGGCCUUUUUUAGCCUUUACCUCCCUUAUCUCACCUCAUUUGCUCUCAUCGUAUAUAGACUUGUUUAUACUGUAUUAUUGACUGUAUGUUUGUUUUACUCCAUGUGUAACUCUGUGUUGUUGUAUGUGUCGAACUGCUUUGCUUUAUCUUGGCCAGGUCGCAAUUGUAAAUGAGAACUUGUUCUCAACUUGCCUACCUGGUUAAAUAAAGGUGAAAUAAAUAAAU